rnacentral:rRNA from 1 species
AACGACUCUCGGCAACGGAUAUCUUGGCUCUCGCAUCGAUGAAAAACGUAACGAAAUGCGAUACUUGGUGUGAAUUGCAGAAUCCCGUGAACCAUCGAGUUUUUGAACGCAAGUUGCGCCCGAAGCUUUUGCCAGGGCACGUCUGCCUGGGCGUCACACA